GCCUUCGUGGUGUAAUGUUCAGCACGCUUGGCGUGCAUUCAAGAGGUCAGUGGUUCGAGUCCCGGCGAGGGCU
rnacentral:tRNA from 1 species